UGGGAAUUUUGGACAAUGGGCGAAAGCCUGAUCCAGCAAUGCCGCGUGUGUGAAGAAGGCCUUCGGGUUGUAAAGCACUUUUGUCCGGAAAGAAAUCCUUGGCUCUAAUACAGUCGGGGGAUGACGGUACCGGAAGAAUAAGCACCGGCUAACUACGUGCCAGCAGCCGCGGUAAUACGUAGGGUGCAAGCGUUAAUCGGAAUUACUGGGCGUAAAGCGUGCGCAGGCGGUUUGCUAAGACCGAUGUGAAAUCCCCGGGCUCAACCUGGGAACUGCAUUGGUGACUGGCAGGCUAGAGUAUGGCAGAGGGGGGUAGAAUUCCACGUGUAGCAGUGAAAUGCGUAGAGAUGUGGAGGAAUACCGAUGGCGAAGGCAGCCCCCUGGGCCAAUACUGACGCUCAUGCACGAAAGCGUGGGGAGCAAACAGGAUUAGAUACCCUGGUAGUCCACGCCCUAAACGAUGUCAACUAGUUGUUGGGGAUUCAUUUCUUAGUAACGUAGCUAACGCGUGAAGUUGACCGCCUGGGGAGUACGGUCGCAAGAUUAAAACUCAAAGGAAUUGACGGGGUCAUAGCUGUUUCCU
rnacentral:rRNA from 1 species